rnacentral:rRNA from 1 species
AUUGAACGCUGGCGGCAGGCUUAACACAUGCAAGUCGAGCGGGGUGAUGGUGCUUGCACUAUCACUUAGCGGCGGACGGGUGAGUAAUGCUUAGGAAUCUGCCUAUUAGUGGGGGACAACAUCUCGAAAGGGAUGCUAAUACCGCAUACGUCCUACGGGAGAAAGCAGGGGAUCACUUGUGACCUUGCGCUAAUAGAUGAGCCUAAGUCGGAUUAGCUAGUUGGUGGGGUAAAGGCCUACCAAGGCGACGAUCUGUAGCGGGUCUGAGAGGAUGAUCCGCCAAACUGGGCCGGAGACACGGCCCAGACUCCUACGGGAGGCAGAAGUGGGGAAUAUUGGACAAUGGGGGGAACCCUGAUCCAGCCAUGCCGCGUGUGUGAAGAAGGCCUUAUGGUUGUAAAGCACUUUAAGCGGGGAGGAGGCUCUUUUGGUUAAUACCCAAGAUGAGUGGACGUUACUCGCAGAAUAAGCACCGGCUAACUCUGUGCCAGCCGCCGCCGUAA